UACGGGGGGAGCAAGCGUUGUUCGGAUUUACUGGGCGUAAAGGGCGCGUAGGCGGCACUGCAAGUCAGUUGUGAAAUCUCCGGGCUUAACCCGGAAAGGUCAGCCGAUACUGCGGGGCUAGAGUGCAGAAGGGGCAACUGGAAUUCUCGGUGUAGCGGUGAAAUGCGUAGAUAUCGAGAGGAACACCUGCGGCGAAGGCGGGUUGCUGGGCUGACACUGACGCUGAGGCGCGAAAGCUAGGGGAGCGAACGGG
rnacentral:rRNA from 1 species